rnacentral:rRNA from 1 species
UACGUAGGGGGCGAGCGUUGUCCGGAAUUAUUGGGCGUAAAGAGCUCGUAGGCGGUUUGUCGCGUCGGCUGUGAAAACUCGGGGCUCAACCCCGAGCCUGCAGUCGAUACGGGCAAACUAGAGUGUGGUAGGGGAGACUGGAAUUCCUGGUGUAGCGGUGAAAUGCGCAGAUAUCAGGAGGAACACCGGUGGCGAAGGCGGGUCUCUGGACCGAUACUGACGCUGAGGAGCGAAAGCGUGGGGAGCGAACAGG